rnacentral:sRNA from 1 species
CUCCAUCAGAAUAGUCUCUCAUCAUAUAUGUGAAACAUAUUUUAAAUUGGUAAUUGAUGUAGGAGUGCCCAGCUUAUUGGGGGCAGUGUUCCUUCUAGGCAGUGGUACAUUACACAUCAUGAAGAACAAGCCAGUAAGCAGAGUUCCUUGAGUGACUUUGUUUAAGUUGCAUUAUUCAGACCUUGUCUUCCCUUGAUUGUAACUCAUGAGCCAAAUCUAACUUUUCUUCCUCACUUUCUUUAUAGUUAGUGUUCAAUUACAUCAACUUAGUAUUCAAGUAUGUGUAAAGGCAUACAAAACCAGGAAAAUACAAGCUGAAAUAUCAGAAUACCAAAAUAAUGUCAACAAGUUUAGGACAACAAAUCUUAAGAAACUAAGUGGAAAUAGAAAAAAACAAAACAAAACAGCUGCAUAUGAUCACCACUAUUGCAUUUUCGUGAGGAGAUGCUGAGUUCCUGUAUAGUGAGCUGGAAGAUGGAGGGUUUCCUAAGAGAGAAGUCUUUACAAAGCCGUGUCUUCAAGUAGCUUCUUGGAAUCUGUCCUCAGUUGGAUUUCAUUUGUAAAUUAAGACACCAAGAACCAAUAGCUGGGAAGGACCGAAAGAGUCUACUUUUAGCCUUCCCAGGGCUUGGAACCAUGAGAAGGAGGAAGGGAGAGGUCUGCCUGCUGGAUACUUGGAGUGCCAACAGAGGAGAGGCUGACUCCCAUAAGAAAAUACAAAAGUACUUACUGUAUAUUCGAAAUAUGACUGAAAUACUCUUUUUCCACGGGCUGUUGCACUGCUGCAAUAAAGAACAUGCAACCUGUUCCCAGGCUUCUGUCCUGGUAUUCAUUCUUCAUACUCCAAAAGCAUGUGGGAUAAAUCAAACUAGCCACAAGAAGUGGAAUGUUCAGGAGAAAGAAGAGUAAAAUGAAGGUGUUUCCUCAUCCCUGAAGAAUCUUUGACAAUGUCUCAUGAGGAGCUUCAUUUGAUAUCCACAGUGCAUGUGAUAAACUUCUUUGAUAUAUAUAGAUGAAAAUGGUGUAACUUGAGGGCUGACAUCACAUGUUUGUGGAAAUUAAGGUCCCUGGAAAGAUUCCACUUUAUGGGAAUUAGGUCCCACUUCUACCCAAAAAAAUCUGUUUAUGUGAACACUUCAAAUAAUUUUAAUGGAUUUGGUUAAUUAAGCUACCGUUUGACAGGUAUUAAGGGUUCAGAAAGAACUCACAAAUUCUGAUGUCAGGGUUAUAAACUGGCCAUCGCAUCACAUAUCCUCGGGGAAGGAUAAGCAGUGUUAUGUUUAAAACAUUCAAUAUCCACUGAGAAUUAAGUAUAGGCAAUCCUACAGCAGUGAUAGGUACAGAAUAUCUAAACAAAUCUGUGCUAUGUAAGCACAUUUAUGUCUUCAGGAUAAAAAAUGACAAACAAAUCCAGAAAUGUCUUGAAUCCUGCUGUACCUAAAACUAUGCAAACUCCAUCAUAGAACCACAAUUUAAAUACAUAUUAAAUGUUGCUUUUUAAAAAA